CAGAGUUGAACCUUUGAGUCAUUAAUGUCUGAUUCUUCCAGUUCAGUCUGAUCCAUGAAUUCUUUGCUGCAAACGGAUCCAAGAAGCUGAUUUUCUUCUAUCAGGAUGUCAAACAGAGUCUGUCCUCCCGUCAGUCUUCCUUUGUGGACGCAUCAAACUCAGCUGUGGCUCAGAGGAAACUCUUCCUCACUACGGGGAACUCUGAGAGAAGACGUCAAACCCCUUCUUGGCAGUUUAUCUCAAUAAAGCUGUACUAUCCCAGCCAUCUGGUAAGUCUUCCCUACUACCCAGAGCCUGUUUAUACUCCUGCAUGUCUCUGCCUUCACUCACUUCCUCUUCUUGAUGUCCAAACUCAUCCUUCAAACUACCAUUUGAUGCUGCAUAGCUGCAUUCUCCCUGACACCUCCUUGUCUCCUGUCUUUUUGAUUUCACCUUCUGCAUAAUAUUUAGUUGCCCUGUGUGCAGCUUCCUCCACUUUCAUAUAUUUCUACAAGUUCCUCCCUGUUCUUGAAGUAUGUGUGCACCACGGCCAUUUCCACUUGGAAAAUCUGCCCCACAUCUGUCUUUCUAGAUUUCUCUCCUAAACACCACACCUACCCAACACCUCAUAACCUCUGUUCCCUUCACCUAAAUGUCCAUUGAAGUCUGUGUCAAUCACCACUGUAGUAUGUGGUCUCUUGCACACAAAAUGUGU